ensembl:antisense Gm16287 predicted gene 16287
ACACUGACUUCUUCUGAAGACAGAAAACUGUGGUUUGUAGUAAAAGAGGCCGUCUUGACUCAGAGCUUCUCCCACCGUUCAGCAUCCGGACAGAGCAUGGAGCCAUGAAGGGGAGGAGGCCAGAGCACUGGCCACCCAUCUGUGUAAUACAGCCCGAGGCUGCGGCGCCAAGACGAUCCUUCAUUCUGAGGCAUGGUGGUACAUGACUGGAAGCCUGGCACUCAAGAGGCAGAGGUACAAAAGCCUAAAGCCAUCCUCUGCUACAUAGGGAGUUUGGGGCCAGCCUGGCGCACAUGAAAUGUUGGCAAAUAUGGAGAAGCAGCUAUGAACAUCUGGGCCAGCUGUUCUGCGCAGGUGAAAUGAGUCAGUGUACUGGUUCGUUUUGUCAACUUUGACAGACACAAGCUGGGGUCAUCUGGGAAGACAGAACCUCAGUUGAGAAAAAUGCCUCCCACCCCCAUCAGAUCGGCCUGUAGACAAACCCCAUGGAUCAUCAUCUUAUUUAAUGACUGGUGUGGGAGGGCCCCGACCCAUUGUGGGUGCUGCCAUCCCUAGGCAGGCAGCCCUGUAGUGCUUUGAGAAAGCGGACUGAGCCAGCCACAAGGAGUGAGGCAGUAGACAGUGUUCCUUCAUCGCUUCGGUUUCAGUUCCUGUCAUCCCUGAAUGCCCUCAGGGAUGGGCUGUAAGCUGAAAUAAACCCCUUUCUCCCCAACAUACUUUUGGUCCUGGUGUUUACCACAGUCAAUAGAAAGCAUAGUAGGGAGCCGGGCGUGGUGGCACACGCCUUUAAUCCCAGCACUCGGGAGGCAGAGGCAGGCGGAUUUCUGAGUUCGAGGCCAGCCUAGUCUACAAAGUGAGUUCCAGGACAGCCAGGGCUACACAGAGAAACUCUGUCUCAACCUCCCCACCCCCCCCAAAAAAAUCUAAGGACAUGGGUGCGACAUAGUGACUGAGCCUGUGUCAUCAGUGUUCCUCGGCAGCUUAAGCCUGCUAGACAGGUUGGUAAACAGCUUGGCAGCUAGAGGACCUCGCUACUCUUGCAGAGGACCUGGGUUUGGUUCCCAGCACCCAGGUCAGGAAGCUCACAACCACCUCUUAACUCCAGCUCCUGCAGAUCUGGUGUCCCCUUGUGGUCUCCUCAGAUGGCCACAACUCCACUAGCAGUGUAUGAGAAUGCUAUAAUAACAGCAAUAACUAUUACUACUCUACUUCCUGGCCAAGAAAAUGAUUGUGGGGGGGAAAAGAUGAUAAGUAUUUGCUAAAGGCCAUCCCACGCCAGCUGUGUUUAUUUGUUGAACUCCAUCUCCAUGUCUGUGGACCAAACAGCCAGGUCCUUUAGAUCUGUAGUUUAUAUAGUGCAUCUUUCAACACCCUGAAACCUUGACCCAAGUUGUAGCCGAAGGAAAGAGGGUUUCUGGUAAAUACGGUUUCCAGUCAGGAGCCCCAAGCCAAGUCUCCCCACCCCUCCUCUUCCUGGAGUGGACCACCUCUGUGGUUGGAACCGCUGGCAAUCCAUCAAAAAGGGAGGUUGGUUGACUUGGAGCUGAGACUGUAAGUGCUUAUAAGAAAUGAAAGACAUGGUUUGGGGUGAAAAAGUCAUGCUUCCGGGUACAAAGGCAAAGCCACUAAUAACCCAAGGAUUCGGCGUUCCAUCUGACCUGCUCUGAUAUUGUCACUAUGGUGACAGUCUCCAUAAACAGCCUCAACAUAACCAAACGAAAGGAAACAAAACAAAACAAAACAGAAAAAGGAAGGAGAACUUCCACCCCGGUGACCUGGAGGUAUUUUAGGGAUCAAGGCAAUGUUGUAUGGGGUAAAUAUUGAACGAAGAAUCUGCUCUUUUAAUAACCGGUCCUCCCUCCCUCUUGGGAGUCUGAACAAAGGCUCGGCAGAUCACAGAACGAAGCCCCAGCCCAGUGUCUUCAGGGUUCAGAAAGUGCAGCCAAGAGAACGGAAACAAAUGGGUACGGACAGACGUUCAAAUUCUUCUCACACCCUCCGCCUGGGACACUCAAGCCGAGCCUUCUGUGGAGUCCAAGGGUGGAACAAGGCUCAUGUUCUCUGGAAAAGAGGCUGGGCCUUGGGCUCCAGGGAACUGAACUUGGUUCCCCGUCCCUGACCUUGAUUCCUGAGCCAGCAGCAGUGAUGGAGGGAAGCAUCUUUAAGCCACACCAAGUCUCUGGGGGCAUCUGCAUCUGCUGCAAAUUCCUCUGCCGCUCCCAGCCUCGUGCUACUCUCUUUGAAUCCCUGACUCAGCGAGCUGCAGUCCAAAGAGCAGAACUAACUAUGUUAUUCCUUCUUCUUCUUCUUUUUUUUAAUGCCAA